rnacentral:rRNA from 1 species
AAGCUGAUCCAGCCAUGCCGCGUGUGUGAAGAAGGCCUUUUGGUUGUAAAGCACUUUAAGCGAGGAGGAGGCUACUUGGAUUAAUACUCUAGGAUAGUGGACGUUACUCGCAGAAUAAGCACCGGCUAACUCUGUGCCAGCAGCCGCGGUAAUACAGAGGGUGCGAGCGUUAAUYGGAUUUACUGGGCGUAAAGCGUGCGUAGGCGGCUUUUUAAGUYGGAUGUGAAAUCCCUGAGCUUAACUUAGGAAUUGCAUUCGAUACUGGGAAGCUAGAGUAUGGGAGAGGAUGGUAGAAUUCCAGGUGUAGCGGUGAAAUGCGUAGAGAUYUGGAGGAAUACCGAUGGCGAAGGCAGCCAUYUGGCCUAAUACUGACGCUGAGGUACGAAAGCAUGGGGAGCAAACAGGAUUAGAUACCCUGGUAGUCCAUGCCGUAAACGAUGUYUACUAGCCGUUGGGGCCUUUGAGGCUUUAGUGGCGCAGCUUACGCGAUAAGUAGACCGCCUGGGGAGUACGGUYGCAAGACUAAAACUCAAAUGAAUUGACGGGGGCCCGCACAAGCGGUGGAGCAUGUGGUUUAAUUYGAUGCAACGCGAAGAACCUUACCUGGUCUUGACAUAGUAAGAACUUUCCAGAGAUGGAUUGGUGCCUUYGGGAACUUACAUACAGGUGCUGCAUGGCUGUYGUCAGCUCGUGUCGUGAGAUGUUGGGUUAAGUCCCGCAACGAGCGCAACCCUUUUCCUUAUUUKCCAGCGGGUUAAGCCGGGAACUUUAAGGAUACUGCCAGUGACAAACUGGAGGAAGGCGGGGACGACGUCAAGUCAUCAUGGCCCUUACGACCAGGGCUACACACGUGCUACAAUGGUCGGUACAAAGGGUUGCUACCYAGCGAUAGGAUGCUAAUCUCAAAAAGCCGAUAGUAGUCCGGAUUGGAGUCUGCAACUGACUCCAUGAAGUCGGAAUCGCUAGUAAUCGCGGAUCAGAACCCGCGUUGCGCCGUUGCCCC